rnacentral:rRNA from 1 species
UACGUAGGGGGCGAGCGUUGUCCGGAAUUAUUGGGCGUAAAGGGCUCGUAGGCGGUCUGUCACGUCGGGAGUGAAAACUCGGGGCUUAACCCCGAGCCUGCUUCCGAUACGGGCAGACUAGAGGUAUGCAGGGGAGAACGGAAUUCCUGGUGUAGCGGUGAAAUGCGCAGAUAUCAGGAGGAACACCGGUGGCGAAGGCGGUUCUCUGGGCAUUACCUGACGCUGAGGAGCGAAAGUGUGGGGAGCGAACAGG